CGUUUGAACGGACCCUUUUCCAAAGGAUUUCAGUCCAACCACAACGGCGCGUUUGUGAUCUUGCAAAGCGCCUGCCACAAUUUCCGAAGCGGAUGCAGAGCCUUCAUUGAUCAUGACCACCAAAGGCAAGCCGUCAAUCAUAUCGCCGGAUUUGGCCGAAAAACGCUGAGUUUCUUCGGGUCUUCUGGAUCGCGUGGAAACAAUUUCCCCUUGGGCCAAAAAGGUAUCUGCCACACCAACGGCUUGAUCCAAUAAACCACCUGGGUUGUUGCGA
rnacentral:ncRNA from 1 species